rnacentral:rRNA from 1 species
UACGUAGGGUGCAAGCGUUGUCCGGAAUUAUUGGGCGUAAAGAGCUCGUAGGCGGUCUGUUGCGUCGGCUGUGAAAACCCGAGGCUCAACCUCGGGCCUGCAGCCGAUACGGGCAGACUAGAGUUCGGCAGGGGAGACUGGAAUUCCUGGUGUAGCGGUGAAAUGCGCAGAUAUCAGGAGGAACACCGGUGGCGAAGGCGGGUCUCUGGGCCGAUACUGACGCUGAGGAGCGAAAGCGUGGGGAGUGAACAGG